rnacentral:rRNA from 1 species
ACAGCAGUCGCCGCGGUAAAACGGAGGGGGCUAGCGUUGUUCGGAAUUACUGGGCGUAAAGCGCACGUAGGCGGCUUGGUAAGUUAGAGGUGAAAGCCUGGAGCUCAACUCCAGAAUUGCCUUUAAGACUGCCGAGCUAGCAGGUGAGAGAGGUAAGUGGAAUUCCGAGUGUAGAGGUGAAAUUCGUAGAUAUUCGGAAGAACACCAGUGGCGAAGGCGGCUUACUGGCUCAUACUGGACGCUGAGGUGCGAAAGCGUGGGGAGCAAACAGGAUUAGAUACCCCCGUAGUCCCUGUCUCUUAUAA